ensembl:lincRNA
GGGAGACAUUACUGUCUCUAAGACUGAAAGGAGGUGGGUGAUAAUGUACCAGAAGCUUCAGUGGGGAGCCUGGAGGAACUGUCACUAUGGAGAGAGGAGAACCUUUCCAGGGGGCAUAUAUCAAGAAAGGACACCUCUACAGGAAGACUGUUGAAGUAUUCCUGGGUAAAUAGAUGGUGCUGGACGUCCACAGAAUGUCGUUUGCUGGCAGCCUUGUGUUUCCCAUUAUCCACCUCCCCAGCCUAUGAUACAGACUCUAUCAACUGCCUUUACAGGGAGGGAACUGAACUCAGAGCCUUUCAUGACUGGCCCUGUGAAGAAGAGGACUCCAGACAUUUACUGAGGACUUUGGAUUCCUGUCCAGCUCUUUCUCCAAUAUUCCCCAUGCUCUCUAAGGUCUGGGUCAGACAGGAGGAAUGAAAAUCUGACUCAGAAACCGUGCCACCCUCAAGGAGUGUGUGGCCAGAUUCAGCCAACUACACCACCAUUGAUUUCUUUCACAAACACAAGAGUACUCUGAAACUGGAAAGGACAGUUCUCACAGAGAUGGCCUUAUUCUUUAUUCAGGUAGAGAGAAAAAUGAUCACAACAGUUGGCCACAUAGUAUUGUCUUGGAGGAAGGAAGGAGGGAUGGAGAGGAGACAAUAUAUAUAAAAGCCUUCCAUGUUCCUUCUUGUUUUAAGUGCCUAAGAACAUUUUUUUCAAAUGUGAGAUAGGAUGCAGCCUUUGGUGGUGAUUUCUGUAUUAUAGGAUUUAACAUUGUAAAACAAUACAACUUUGUGUAUUUGGACAUGCAGAUGUGCUUGUAUUGUAAUGAGUUAAAAACGAAUCACCUUGACUUGUUUGUCCUAGUGAUUAAGCCUCUAAAAUUCAGAUACUUGGAUUUAUCUUGGUUACAUCACAUUUAUUCUCAAUUUCAAAUUAGCUCUCGGGAUUUAAAAUAAAGAAUUUUCCCAAGAAGGAUGGAUCACUUUUAUAUUUACUUAUAACUCUAUAUUAAAUAAUCCAAAUGCGUUGAUUAAUCAGCUACAUUUUUUACUCAGACCUUUUUUCAUCAGUAUUUGUCAGCACAGUGCAGUGCCAACUGUGCCAUGUGGUGACCGCAGGCAGUGUCGGGGAGCACUCAUGUCCCUGUCUUGCCAUCAGGGUUCUACCCCAUCUCAUAGCUGUGAGUCUAGAUUAAUUUGAUUCUCUUUAUUUUAACACUGUUGGUCUCAGGAUUUUGCUGGCAUUUACUCCGCCUGUGUUUCUUCUGGGAGCUUCUACAUUAGCCUGUAUUUGUCUGUUUGCCCAUCCUCUUGCCUUUGGA